CAGUAGCCGCGGUAAUACGUAGGUGGCAAGCGUUGUCCGGAAUUAUUGGGCGUAAAGGGCUCGCAGGCGGUUUCUUAAGUCUGAUGUGAAAGCCCCCGGCUCAACCGGGGAGGGUCAUUGGAAACUGGGAAACUUGAGUGCAGAAGAGGAGAGUGGAAUUCCACGUGUAGCGGUGAAAUGCGUAGAGAUGUGGAGGAACACCAGUGGCGAAGGCGACUCUCUGGUCUGUAACUGACGCUGAGGAGCGAAAGCGUGGGGAGCGAACAGGAUUAGAUACCCCCGUAGUCCCCUGUCUCUUAUA
rnacentral:rRNA from 1 species